GUCCUGGUGGUCUAGUGGUUAAGACUAGGCGCUCUAACAGCCCUGACCUGGGUUCAUUUCCUAGUCAGGAAA
rnacentral:tRNA from 1 species